AGAGUUUGAUCCUGGCUUAGGAUGAACGCUGGCGGCGUGCUUAACACAUGCAAGUCGAACGGACUUUAGAAUGAAGCUUGCGAUUCUAAAGUUAGUGGCGGACGGGUGAGUAACGCGUGGUAACCUGCCUUAUACCGGGGGAUAACACUUAGAAAUAGGUGCUAAUACCGCAUAAGCGCACAGCUUCGCAUGAAGCAGUGUGAAAAACUCCGGUGGUAUAAAGAUGGACCCGCGUCUGAUUAGCUGGUUGGUGAGGUAACGGCCCACCAAGGCGACGAUCAGUAGCCGGCCUGAGAGGGUGAACGGCCACAUUGGGACUGAGACACGGCCCAAACUCCUACGGGAGGCAGCAGUGGGGAAUAUUGGACAAUGGGGGAAACCCUGAUCCAGCCGACGCCGCGUGAGUGAAGAAGUAUUUCGGUAUGUAAAGCUCUAUCAGCAGGGAAGAUAAUGACGGUACCUGACUAAGAAGCCCCGGCUAACUACGUGCCAGCAGCAGC
rnacentral:rRNA from 1 species